GCGUGAAGGGGUUCGUGUCCAACCUCGUCCACGGCGGGAAGGGCCACGGCCACGGCUACGAGCACGGCUACGGCCACGGCCACGGCCACGGCCACGAGCACGGCUACGGCCACGGCGCCCACGGGUACCCUCCUCCGGCCGCCGGCGCCUACCCUCCGCCGCACGGCGCCUACCCGCCGGCCGCCUACCCCGCGCACUCCGCGCAAUACGGUACGCCGUCGUAAUACAUGGAACAGCUAUUAGCUGCGUGUUAAUUCUCUAGCCAACGACGACUGAGUUUAAUUAAUAAUCUGUGCGUGCGUGUGGCCGCAGGGCACAUGGGGUCGUACCACACCGGCCACGGCGGCGGGCACCACGGCGGCUACGGCGGCAAGCACAAGGGCGGCAUGUUCGGCGGCGGCAAGUACAGGAAGUGGAAGUAGAGCGGCCGGCCGGUCGGCGCGGCAUGCCUCUACGUACGUCGUCGUAUCCGUGCCGUAGCCCGUAGCUAAUAACCGUGCACACUCCAUGCGGUACACGUAUACGUAUACGUAUAUAAAAUAAAGUGCAAGCGGGCAGGCAGGCACGAGCCGUA
rnacentral:lncRNA from 1 species